UACGAAGGGGGCUAGCGUUGCUCGGAAUCACUGGGCGUAAAGGGUGCGUAGGCGGGUCUUUAAGUCAGGGGUGAAAUCCUGGAGCUCAACUCCAGAACUGCCUUUGAUACUGAAGAUCUUGAGUUCGGGAGAGGUGAGUGGAACUGCGAGUGUAGAGGUGAAAUUCGUAGAUAUUCGCAAGAACACCAGUGGCGAAGGCGGCUCACUGGCCUGUUCUUGACGCUGAGGCGCGAAAGCUAGGGGAGCAAACGGG
rnacentral:rRNA from 1 species